rnacentral:rRNA from 1 species
GACAGAGGGGCAAGCGUUGUCCGGAUUUACUGGGCGUACAGCGCGCGCAGGCGGUGGUGUAGGUACCUGGUGACAGUCUCGGGCUCAACUCGAGGGGUCUGGGUAGACCGCACCGCUGGAGGCAGGGAGAGGGAUGUGGAAUACCCGGUGGAGCGGUGAAAUGCGUAGAGAUCGGGUGGAACACCAGUGGCGAAGGCGGUUCUCUGGGCAUUACCUGACGUGAGGUGCGAAAGCGUGGGGAGCAAACGG